UGGGGGAUAUUGCACAAUGGGCGAAAGCCUGAUGCAGCGACGCCGCGUGGGGGAUGAAGGCUUUCGGGUUGUAAACCUCUUUCGCUAUCGAACAAGGCCCGCUUAGGGUGGGUUGAGGGUAGGUGGAGAAGAAGCGCCGGCUAACUACGUGCCAGCAGCCGCGGUAAUACGUAGGGCGCGAGCGUUGUCCGGAAUUAUUGGGCGUAAAGGGCUUGUAGGCGGCUUGUUGCGCCUGCUGUGAAAACGCGGGGCUUAACUUCGCGCGUGCAGUGGGUACGGGCAGGCUUGAGUGUGGUAGGGGUGACUGGAAUUCCAGGUGUAGCGGUGGAAUGCGCAGAUAUUUGGAGGAACACCGAUGGCGAAGGCAGGUCACUGGGCCAUUACUGACGCUGAGGAGCGAAAGCAUGGGUAGCGAACAGG
rnacentral:rRNA from 1 species